GUGAGGGGAUCCAGCCCAGGCU
rnacentral:miRNA from 1 species